rnacentral:misc_RNA from 1 species
GAUGAAGAACGCAGCGAAAUGCGAUAAGUAAUGUGAAUUGCAGAAUUCAGUGAAUCAUCGAAUCUUUGAACGCACAUUGCGCCCUCUGGUAUUCCGGGGGGCAUGCCUGUUCGAGCGUCAUUAUAACCACUCAAGCUCUCGCUUGGUAUUGGGGUUCGCGGUUUCGCGGCCCCUAAAAUCAGUGGCGGUGCCUGUCGGCUCUACGCGUAGUAAUACUUCUCGCGAUUGAGUUCGAUAGGUCUACUUGCCAGUAACCCCCAAUUUUUACAGGUUGACCUUGGAUCAGGUAGGGAUACCCGCUGAACUUAAGCAUAUCAAUAAGCGGAGGA